rnacentral:misc_RNA from 1 species
CAACCCUCGAGCCCCUCCGGGGGGUCGGCGUUGGGGAUCGGCACUUACCUGCCGGCCCCGAAAUACAGUGGCGGUCUCGCCGCAGCCUCUCCUGCGCAGUAGUUUGCACACUCGCACCGGGAGCGCGGCGCGUCCACGGCCGUAAAACAACCCAAACUUCUGAAA